UAGGGUAGGGUGUGAUAGGUAGCACGAGGGAUUUUGAAUCCCUAGGUACAGGUUCAAUUCCUGUGGCCCUAG
rnacentral:tRNA from 1 species